UGCGUAGGCGGACUUAUAAGUCAGUGGUGAAAACCUGCAGCUUAACUGUAGACGUGCCAUUGAUACUGUUAGUCUUGAGUAUGGUCAAGGUAGGCGGAAUGUGUAAUGUAGCGGUGAAAUGCUUAGAUAUUACACAGAACACCGAUUGCGAAGGCAGCUUACUGGGCCAUUACUGACGCUGAUGCACGAAAGCGUGGGGAGCGAACAGGAUUAGAUACCCUGGUAGUCC
rnacentral:rRNA from 1 species